rnacentral:guide_RNA from 1 species
ACAACAACAAGACACUUAAGAGAAUGUGUGUAAGAUA